AGAUCGUUAACCUGAAGAAGACACUGAAGGCCAGCGGCGGUGCCCCCCAGGAGUCGGAGCAGCACGUGAUGGAGAACCGGGAACCUGCGGCACCUCAGGACCAGCGUCUGUCCACCAAGAAGGCCUCCAAGGUGAAAGGACUCCGAGGCAGUGGGAAGAUCUGGUCCAAGUCAAAUUAAUUUCUCAUUUUCUAAUCAGUGCUUUUCCACUUGCUGUCUCACUUCCUGUACCCCUCUCGCUGUCUCUCUCUCUCUCUCUCUCUCUCUCUCUUCCCCCUCCUCCCCCACCAUUUCUCUCUGCCUCUCCCCUCCCUCCCUCCCCCCUUGAUCUUUCCCAAUGUGUGGACCCUGCCUGAACAGCUAGUCAGCUGGGGCAGGCGGCGUGUGUGUGUAUGUGUGUGUGUGUGUGUGUGUGUGUGUGUGAACUGUGACGGGGAACCCUGCCUGGAGACCAGGAGGGAGAGCACCCCAGACUGAGGACACCGCGUAUAUUGACGCUCUGGCGGUACUGCCCUGAGAACAGGGACUGAAUACCCCUCUGCACCUGGAGUCAGAGUCAGAGUCUGCACUCCGCGCUUGUCGAAGUGUGAAUAUUCGCAGGUUGAAAUUCCCUAUCUCUCUCUCUCUCUCUCUCUCUCUCUCAGAAUCAAAACAUUAAAUAUUUUAGAGCUUCAA